rnacentral:rRNA from 2 species
UGGGGAAUAUUGCACAAUGGGCGAAAGCCUGAUGCAGCAACGCCGCGUGAGCGAAGAAGGCCCUUGGGUCGUAAAGCUCUGUCCGAGGGGAAGAUAAUGACGGUACCCUUGGAGGAAGCCCCGGCUAACUACGUGCCAGCAGCCGCGGUAAUACGUAGGGGGCAAGCGUUAUCCGGAAUUAUUGGGCGUAAAGAGUGCGUAGGUGGUUCUUUAAGCGUGAGGUGAAAGGCAAUGGCUCAACCAUUGUAAGCCUUGCGAACUGGGGGACUUGAGUGCAGGAGAGGUAAGUGGAAUUCCUAGUGUAGCGGUGAAAUGCGUAGAUAUUAGGAGGAACACCAGUGGCGAAGGCGACUUACUGGACUGUAACUGACACUGAGGCACGAAAGCGUGGGGAGCAAACAGG